rnacentral:lncRNA from 1 species
CCUCUUUGCGCUCGGUCUUUUCCAGAAUAAAGACCUCUCCUUUAUUUAUAGGUGAGGAAAGAAACUAUGCGGACUUCAAUCAGUUUGAAAUCCGACGAACUUCAUUUGAUUUAGAAUCUGGAAGCUUAUAGAAGUCAGAACUUAACUGAUUUUAAGUUUGAUUUUUUAUAGCACAGUGUCAGGAAUCUUCUUGAAGAUGAGCA